rnacentral:tRNA from 1 species
GCUGAUAUAGCUCAGUUGGAAGAGCACAUCCUUGGUAAGGAUGAGGCCCCCAGUUCAAUUCUGGGUAUCAGCA